GUGUAACUGGUUUGGAUCUUGUUGCAUGGCUUAUAAGCUCGAUGGAAUGGAUUCAGAUUCCAAAAUCUUUCUUUUUCAGUCCUCGUAACGGGGAAUUCUACAACUACCUCGAGGAUCAGCGGAGCUGAGCUGCGCUUAUUUGCACCAAACAAUGUGGGUUGAUCGAAAUUGAUGAUGCUCAAGUGAUUGCGGGCGCCGGGGGGAGCUCGUAAGAUGAAGAUGGAGGAUAAUUUGUUGUACUCCAGAGCACAUUGGGUCAGUAGAUCUUUGAUUGCGUGGAAUGAGGAUAUUGGGGA